UACGUAGGAGGCGAGCGUUGUCCGGAAUUACUGGGCGUAAAGAGCGCGUAGGCGGCGCGAUACGACCGAUGUGAAAGCCCCGGGCUUAACCUGGGAAUUGCUUUUAAGACUGUCGGGCUAGAAUCCAGAAGAGGGUAGUGGAAUUCCGAGUGUAGAGGUGAAAUUCGUAGAUAUUCGGAAGAACACCAGUGGCGAAGGCGACUACCUGGUCUGGCAUUGACGCUCAUGUGCGAAAGCGUGGGGAGCAAACAGG
rnacentral:rRNA from 1 species